UGCAGUGAAACCUGUUCAUCAGCUUUUGGAACCGGUUAGUCCGCUGGAUAACGAUUAAUAUUGUAUACUCAUUCUACAAACCUGAGCAUGCUUGUGUUAGCAGGAAAACAAAAAGCUGUAUGGAAGAAGAAUUAAUGGAAUAAAAAAGACAAUAUCUGUUUGGGCUGAAUGAAAUGAUUGGACGGGCUUAUUACAGUCCUGCGACAGGCACAGCUACCAGAUUUAUAACUUUUUUUGUCAGAGCAUUUGAUUUAUUAAUUUACUAAUAAAGCUUGGGGCCCUACUGUGUGGAGUUUACAUGUUCUCUCCGUGUUAGCCUGGGUUUUCUCCGGUUUCCUCCCACAGUCCAAAGACAUGCAGGUUAGGUUAAUUGUUGACUCUAAAUUGCCUGUAGGUGUGAAUGUGAGCGUGAAUGGUUAAUCAUGAUCAUGGAUGAUGGUU